rnacentral:rRNA from 1 species
GACGAACGCUGGCGGCGUGCUUAACACAUGCAAGUCGUACGGUAAGGCCCUUUCGGGGGUACACGAGUGGCGAACGGGUGAGUAACACGUGAGUAACCUGCCCACAACUUUGGGAUAACGCUAGGAAACUGGUGCUAAUACUGGAUAUGUGCUCCUGCUGCAUGGUGGGUGUUGGAAAGCUCCGGCGGUUGUGGAUGGACUCGCGGCCUAUCAGCUUGUUGGUGGGGUAGUGGCCUACCAAGGCGGCGACGGGUAGCCGGCCUGGGAGGGUGACCGGCCACAUUGGGACUGAGAUACGGCCCAGACUCCUACGGGAGGCAGCAGUGGGGAAUAUUGCACAAUGGGCGCAAGCCUGAUGCAGCAACGCCGCGUGCGGGAUGACGGCCUUCGGGUUGUGAACCGAUUUCAGCAGGGACGAAGCUUUUUGUGACGGUACCUGCAGAAGAAGCACCGGCUAACUACGUG